rnacentral:lncRNA from 1 species
GACAUAUAUAAACAAGUACAUUCCAGGUCACAUAGGAAGAAACCUGACUCAUCCAUAGUGGGGCCUGCUGGCAUUGUGGGCAGAAUUGACACCAGGCAGAUUUCCAGCCCCUUCACCUAUGUUUCCAGAAGUCUUGGGGAGUUCUCUUCUAAAUGGCAGGAAGAAAGAAUAAAAGAGACACUGAUACAGGGCAAUCAAAGCCAGAAUUCCACAAGGAGUCAGUGGCAUCCUGCAAAUUCACCUCAAGAGGAAUGUGUUAGAGCUCUCCAAAUGUGCAGGA